ensembl:lncRNA
CUGGAGCUCCAUGAUUUCUAUCAAAAGGCCGGAUUCUCCCAUGCGCAGCCCCACGUGAGGAACCUGUCCUGAUUCCACAACACGCUGUAACUGUGUAUUGAAGCCUUAUCAACUUCCUUGGCUCCAUGUUUAAAGCCAGGGAGGUGGUUAUGGGCAUUCCUGAGUGAGGGUCAUGGAGUUUUGUCUUAUUCCAUAAAUAUUUCAGUAGAAAGCCAACGGAAGUGUUUGUGAGUGAAGUUCCGAUGUAAAUCAGAGCUUUGACAACUUGUCCGUUUAUCACAACAACUGCUAUCCCAUUCUAUUGGGUACUGCCAUGGUACUUCAGCUGAGGUAUUAGAGGUACUUGGGCUAUUCAGAUUUUGACAAACGUUUAUUUCUAAAUACUCCUUAACACUAUUUCUCGAAUCAGUAAAAAGAAUUCAUUCAAUAUAUAUUUUACAGUGGGUGGGUCUGUUUUUUGCUUGAGAUUGCUGAGGUUUUUAUGGUAAUUCUAAAGGCAGGCACCUAGCAGGGAGGGGCCAUCUGCCUGCUGUGAAACCAUCUCCCCUGGCUCCAGAUGCCCACACUGCAGUCCCUGUGGGCUCUCCCCAUAGUCAGCAGAGCACUUCCAGUGUGUCUGUCCUCAGCCUUGGUUUAGGUAUUGGAUUUAGGAUGGGCUGGUUCAUGCUGCAGUGACUUUCCUUGCCAUUGGCUGUUGCAGUGCAUAGGGCUGUUGUUCAUUGCCCUGCCAUGGGUGUUCCUGCUAUCAGAGGAGCACCGCGGUAUUUCCCUAGCCUCCAGCUUCUGCCCAGUUGUGGGGCUCUCAAAGGCCCUUGGUCACAGCCAGGUGCCCUGGGGUUCUCAGGUGCCGUUGCAGACCUCUCUGAGGUGACUGCAUCCCUUCCAGGGGCUGGCUCGGUGCUCCUCAGCUCAGGCAGCCCGCGUGCAGGUCCCAGGAGAACUCAGGGUGUUCACAGACCCUGGGAGCUGGGACUGAGCAGGACCUGGGGACGUGUUCUCCCAGAAGCAGGUUCAGAGAAAACACUGGCAGCAGCUCUUAUCUUUGAAAUUGAAAAGCUUGCCAUCAGAUCUCGGCAGCUGGAGAGCUUAAGCAAAGGAUAUCCAACUGCUCGAUUCCCAGUUCAAGGUCAGGACUUGUACUGCACAGUAUGUUGUGAAAAAAAGAAAUUUGGUGAGAGCUGUGCUACUAACACCGAUGAUGUUCAGAUCUGCCAGGGAGGUGAGAUGACUUAGCUGACCUUCUCCUGAUGAAGUCCUGAUGAUGUCCUGGGCAGUGCCAGCACAUGAACAUUUCUCCAUCCAGCUCUCAGCUCUGCACUCCCAGCAGCAGGGGUUUGGUGGCAGGGAAUGAGCUCUCCCUGGCUGAGCCACCAGGGACAGAACUCCUUUCCCCCGCUGCGUGCCGAUGUGCCGGCAGUGAGUGGGAGCUGCUGCAGAUGUGUGCAGCAGUGCAAGCUGCUGGUGGGUGGGGGCACCGAGGACCUGGCCAGAGCCCCCCUGUAAGCACUGCGUUUCCAUCUCAGCACACUGCACCUCCUCGGUUUGAUCUCCUUUGCUACCUGCCCGCUCAGGCUCUCUUACCAGGCGGAAGCGUCUGACCAGAACAAAGUCGCUGCUCGCCAGCUAACAUGGUUUCAUGAGCUCUUUGUUGUUUUCCUUUUCAUACCUGCUAAUGUGAUACAGUGAGAGCUAUUCUGCGCCAUGUGCGCAGCAAGGCGCAGGCUGGCAAGCAGCCCGGGAAGCCCUGCCACGUGUCCCAGCUCUUGCACGGUGCUCCGCUUCCCCAGCUUUGCUGCUGCUCAUUUCUCCCAGCAGCUUGCAAACAGCAGAGACCUUGUGGUCAGAGCUUCCUGGUGGUUUGGCAUCAAGGUGUAAACAGAUCGACUUCAUUCAGGAGAGUUUCUUGCAGAGAUGGAUCGAGUGUGCAGUCCGGUCUUUUCCCCCUGUUAAUUUCCAGGAGGGAUGUGCCAGACUCCUCCCUGCUCAGGUGAAGUCAGCAAGUGGGCAGGGACAUUGCAGAGACCUUCAGGGGAAGGGGAAGAAAGUUUCUUUUCUCUUUCUUUUCCUUUUUUUUUUUUUUUCCUUUUUUUUUCUUUCUUUUUUUAAUUCUGAGUGCCAUUACCCCUCACCUCUGAACCAAGAAAGACUUUACGUGGUGUCAUAAUUUAGCAAAUUACUUCCUCAAAGGAAGGUCAAACAUUUUACCAUUCGAUCAAUAGGAAGCGACUUACAAAUCAUGUGUAUUGAUCAUUGUAAUCAUUCAGAGGAAUGUAGGGCAGACACUAAAAUCACAUGCACUUAGUCUUAAUUGCCCACAUUAAAGCAAUUAUGCCCCAAAACUGUCAUUGUCUAAUGCUACGCACACUACCCAGCAUGGCAACUUUUAGCCAUACAUAUUUAAUCAUAAAUCAGCCUCUUAGGUCCGUUGCACUAACGACCUACAAUAUUGCCGUAAUUAUGCAAAUAUAGCUAUGUCUUUUUUCAUCGACAUGUAAGAUCAUGUUGCUUUUGGGAGCCAAGCGGAGGAAAAUAAGCCCCUGUAUUAAUGCAGCUGGUACUUAAUACGUGUAUUUUACAGCUGUGCUGUGCACUCAUGACACAAGUACUCAAAGUGACCUGAAAUCGCUAAUGAACAGAGAGCCUUUGUAAAAGCAGUCACAGGUCAAGGACUUGCAGAUAAAACUUGCUGAGCAGCGCCUUGGUGGUAGGCUGGUGUCAGGAGAGGGCUGUUUGCUUGGGGAUGUUUAUAAACAUUGUUUUCUAGGGGAUCAUUUUGCCUAGAGGGGUCCCGGCCAAAUAGUCAUUCGUUAACAUUAAAAUAAAUGUUUUCUGAUCUUCUGGACAUGAGGUGGGUGCUGCAUUCCUGUAGUCAGAGAAGGCAACAUGUCGGCUCAGGGCAGUUUUGUGAUUUGUUCACACAGCCUCUGCAAUGGAAAGAUUGCUCAGGAAUUUUCUCCUCUGACAAUUUCUUAACAGAUCUGGAAAAUUAACCAUUCUGAUUCAUUAUAUACCUCACGUUUGGCAAGCAAGAGCAUUCAAAAUGACAAUGUUACCUAGCAUGGGACAGCAAGAUUUGGUUUUCACAGAGAAUAUGUGUUCUUGAAGUAGAUGAGAGAUUUUCUCCUAGUUCUGGGACUGAAUGGGAGAAGCUGCCUCCUUGGCAGCAGGUCCAGCCGAGACACGCACACCUUCACUUGGAGAUGUGAGGCUGCAGCCCCCCCAGGCCCUGCCCUUGUGUUGGAGCAGCAAGGGAGGGGCCUGUGGAAGCUGAGAGCUAAAUCGGUUCUGUCCCAGGAAGAUCUCUGGCUCCAAAUCUCAGGCAAAUGCAUUUUAACAAGAUUUUGAGAUUGUCUGCAAUGUUUUUGAUCUGCUGGGGGUCUUACCCUGCUCAAAGCAACAAUGUGCAGUGCAUAAGGUAUCGUGUUGGUCCUGUGCGUACAGGUGGGCACUGCGUCACACAUGAUUUAGAGCAAGCCUUUAAAGGGGGAAAGGAAGUUGUUUCUCUCCAAGCCACAGCCCCAGAAUAGCGAUGGAAGCAUUAACCGCUGCUCAGAGGAGGACUCAGGCUGUUCCAGCAGAGGAGGAAGGACAUUCACGGGCUCAGGACAGCUGUGCCGUGCCUGACUGGCUGGGCUGGGCACAACGGCUCGGAGCCACAGCACUGCCCACACUCCUGCUCCGCCUCAGGAGCAACGAAGUUGUUGGCUGGCUCCUUUCUGAAAGUUAAAAUUGGUUUGUCAUUUUCUCUUCUCGCACCUUAUCUCGUUUCUGCAUUCUUCCCACUUGAGUAGUCAAAGUGAUUGAAAGCCGAAAACUGAGCGGAUCUGUCCCCGCAGCGACUUUCCUCGCGUUUCUCAUUUUCCGUCGUAUCAAAUGGGCUCUUUGUCUCUGUGCUCCCCUGAUGUUGCCUCUGUUACACGGAGAUAUUCUUCAGGUCACAGGGGUUAAAAGGGGGCUAAAAAGGAGAUCAUAUUGGACUUGCUUUACACAGCCAUGUAGCAUUAGCCCCAACGCCCAAUAGAGGAAAGAUAUACUACUCCUAUUUGAUGAGCAGCAGGCCAAUAAAUUCAUUAAUCAUCAUUUUAUGCCUCAUCAAACACUUCCCAAGUUCCUCCAUGGGAGUUAUACAAAUUAGCCACUGAAAAGGCAGUAAUUUUAGUUUAGCUAGGUAAGUGCUUUUUGAUUGCCUUCCUGAACAAUGCUUCCCUUGACAAGCUAAUAAAUCAGCCCUUUCUGAAUCAGAAGUGCAGCAAGUGCGAACAAUAACUCCACAUAGUUUCUCUGCUGAUUUCAGCUGGAAGGCCUAAGAGGAUGAUCUGGGAUCAAAGUCUCUCACUUUAUUGCGGAGCAAAAGCUUUCUUUAUGAAGAAGAGCUGCAGAGAAAUGAGGGAAGGGUUUUUUAUUUAAUCAAUUAAUGAGCAGAAAAAAGUCUCGAAACAAAAAGGCAGCCUAAGGCCGCAGCACGGGGCUGCAGGUGAUGCUGUGGGCAGGCAGUGAGGGGACAGGGCUGGGCUGUGCUCUGAGCAGUGCGGCCCACCGCGGCCCGGAGGGCUGCAGGUGCUCGUGGUGUGGGGUGGGCUGGCGCUGCGGUGGAAGCCCUGAAGGCUGAGCUGCCUUCUCUCUCUUUUUUAUUUUUUCAAAUUGCAGCCUUUGACAGUAUCAAUUUUUUUUUAACUUGGCCGUAAAUCAUUUCACUAAUCAGCUGUCACCGGCCGACACGCACGCGUUGGCAUUCAGCCGGAGAAUUUGUUUUGGAAGGCCUUUAGCGACAAACCCGAUGUUGGUAUCAGUACCGUCUGCGGUGCACCCGCACGCGGGGCCGGACGGGGCGAGGGGAGCGGGGCUCCGUGGGGUGAGACCGGGCCCGAGGGCCCCCCCGCGGCCGGAGAGAGCCGUUUCGACGCGGGGCGGCCGCUCCUCUUCAUUAACUUUCCCUCCGCACGGCACCGCGUGCCUCUGAAAAUAACUUGGCAAACCGGGAGCCGUUUAUCUCUUUUAUCUUGGGACCCGAUCCAAUUAAAUAAGUGCACAUUUACAUUUGCAUCCAUCAGGCGUGAGCGAGGAGAGGGCCGCGGUUUGCUUUAAGCAAAUGGCGAUGGCGGCGGCAAGGAGAGGUGCGGGGCCGGACCCCCGCAGGGCAGGACGCGGCGCCUCGCCGGGGAAG